CCCAGACAGCCAGGAUGUUGGCUUAGAAGCAGCCAUCAUUUAAAGAAAGCGUAAUAGCUCACUGGUCGAGUCGGCCUGCGCGGAAGAUGUAACGGGGCUAAACCAUGCACCGAAGCUGCGGCAGCGACACUAUGUGUUGUUGGGUAGGGGAGCGUUCUGUAAGCCUGUGAAGGUGUGCUGUGAGGCAUGCUGGAGGUAUCAGAAGUGCGAAUGCUGACAUAAGUAACGAUAAAGCGGGUGAAAAGCCCGCUCGCCGGAAGACCAA
rnacentral:rRNA from 1 species